rnacentral:rRNA from 1 species
AAACUCAAAGGAAUUAGUACGGGGGCCCGGCGACAAGCGGAGGAGCAUGUGGUUUAAUUCGAUGAUACGCGAGGAACCUUACCUGGGCUUGAAAGUUAUGACAUUCUGUGAAAGCAGAACUUCCGCAAGGACACGAAACUAGGUGCUGCAUGGCUGUCGUCAGCUCGUGCCGUGAGGUGUUGGGUUAAGUCCCGUAACGAGCGCAACCCCUAUCAUUAGUUGCCAUCAGGUCAUGCUGGGGACUCUAAUGAGACUGCCCGCGCAAGCGGUGAGGAAGGUGGGGACGACGUCAAGUCAUCACGGCCCUUACGUCCAGGGCUACACACGUGCUACAAUGGUAGAUACAGCAGGUUGCCACAUGGUAACAUGGAGCUAAUCCCAAAAGUCUAUCUCAGUUCGGAUUGAGGUCUGCAACUCGACCUCAUGAAGCUGGAUUCGCUAGUAAUCGAAAAUCAGCAAUGUUUCGGUGAAUACGUUCCCGGGCCUU